rfam:Streptacidiphilus jiangxiensis strain CGMCC 4.1857 genome assembly, contig: Ga0104467_102
GAAAGCAUCUAAGCGGGAAGCCUGCUUCGAGAUGAGUACUCCCACCCACUUGAUGGGGUAAGGCUCCCAGUAGACGACUGGGUUGAUAGGCCGGAUGUGGAAGCCCUGUGAGGGGUGGAGCUGACCGGUACUAAUAGGCCGAGGGCUUGUCCAU